rnacentral:rRNA from 1 species
GACGAACGCUGGCGGCGUGCUUAACACAUGCAAGUCGAACGGAAAGGCCCUGCUUUUGUGGGGUGCUCGAGUGGCGAACGGGUGAGUAACACGUGAGUAACCUGCCCUUGACUUUGGGAUAACUUCAGGAAACUGGGGCUAAUACCGGAUAGGAGCUCCUGCUGCAUGGUGGGGGUUGGAAAGUUUCGGCGGUUGGGGAUGGACUCGCGGCUUAUCAGCUUGUUGGUGGGGUAGUGGCUUACCAAGGCUUUGACGGGUAGCCGGCCUGAGAGGGUGACCGGCCACAUUGGGACUGAGAGAGGGCCCAGACUCAUACGGGAGGCAGGAGGGGGGAAUAUUGCACAAGGGGCGGAAGACUGAUGCAGCAACGAAGGGUGCGGGAUGACGGACUUCGGGUUGUAAACCGAUUUCGCCUGUGACGAAGCGUGAGUGAAGGUAAUGGGUAAAGAAGCAACGGCUAACUACGUG